rnacentral:rRNA from 1 species
CCUACGGGAGGCAGCAGUGGGGAAUAUUGGACAAUGGGGGGAACCCUGAUCCAGCCAUGCCGCGUGUGUGAAGAAGGCCUUAUGGUUGUAAAGCACUUUAAGCGAGGAGGAGGCUCUUUUGGUUAAUACCCAGAAUGAGUGGACGUUACUCGCAAAAUAAGCACCGGCUAACUCUGUGCCAGCAGCCGCGGUAAU